rnacentral:rRNA from 1 species
AGAGUUUGAUCAUGGCUCAGGACGAACGCUGGCGGCGUGCCUAACACAUGCAAGUCGAGCGGGGAUAUAUGCUGGAGCGCUUCGGUGUGAAGGGAUAUAUCCUAGCGGCGGACGGGUGAGUAACGCGUGGGGAACCUGCCCUUAAGUUCGGGAUACCAACUCGAAAGGGUUGUUAAUACCGGAUGUGCUGCAUUAGCCGCAUGGCGGAUGUAGUAAAGGGGAGACCCGCUUAAGGAUGGCCCUGCGUUCCAUUAGCUAGUUGGUGGGGUAACGGCCUACCAAGGCGACGAUGGAUAGCCGGCCUGAGAGGGCGACCGGCCACACUGGGACUGAGACACGGCCCAGACUCCUACGGGGGGCAGCAGUGGGGAAUCUUGCACAAUGGGCGGAAGCCUGAUGCAGCGACGCCGCGUGAGGGACGAAGGUCUUCGGAUCGUAAACCUCUGUCCAAAGGGACGAAGGAGUGACGGUACCUUUGGAGGAAGCCCCGGCCAACUACGUGCCAGCAGCCGCGGUAAU